rnacentral:rRNA from 1 species
GACGAGCGCUGGCGGCGUGCUUAACACAUGCAAGUCGAACGGAAAGGCCCUGCUUUUGUGGGGUGCUCGAGUGGCGAACGGGUGAGUAACACGUGAGUAACCUGCCCUUGACUUUGGGAUAACUUCAGGAAACUGGGGCUAAUACCGGAUAGGAGCUCCUGCUGCAUGGUGUGGGUUGGAAAGUUUCGGCGGUUGGGGAUGGACUCGCGGCUUAUCAGCUUGUUGGUGGGGUAGUGGCUUACCAAGGCUUUGACGGGUAGCCGGCCUGAGAGGGUGACCGGCCACAUUGGGACUGAGAUACGGCCCAGACUCCUACGGGAGGCAGCAGUGGGGAAUAUUGCACAAUGGGCGGAAGCCUGAUGCAGCAACGCCGCGUGCGGGAUGACGGCCUUCGGGUUGUAAACCGCUUUCGCCUGUGACGAAGCGUGAGUGACGGUAAUGGGUAAAGAAGCACCGGCUAACUACGUG